GAUGAAGAACGUAGCGAAAUGCGAUAAGUAAUGUGAAUUGCAGAAUUCCGUGAAUCAUCGAAUCUUUGAACGCACAUUGCGCCCGCCAGUAUUCUGGCGGGCAUGCCUGUUCGAGCGUCAUUACAACCCUCAGGCCCCCGGGCCUGGCGUUGGGGAUCGGCGGAGCCCCCCGUGGGCACACGCCGUCCCCCAAAUGCAGUGGCGGUCCCGCCGCAGCUUCCAUCGCGUAGUAGCUAACACCUCGCGACUGGAGAGCGGCGCGGCCACGCCGUAAAACACCCAACUCUUCUGAAGUUGACCUCGAAUCAGGUAGGAAUACCCGCUGAACUUAAGCAUAUCAAUAAGCGGAGG
rnacentral:misc_RNA from 1 species